rnacentral:rRNA from 1 species
UACGUAGGGAGCAAGCGUUGUCCGGAAUCAUUGGGCGUAAAGCGCGCGUAGGUGGCUUCGUAAGUCCGCUGUGAAAGUCAAAGGCUCAACCUUUGAAAGCCGGUGGAUACUGCGGGGCUAGAGUACGGAAGAGGCGAGUGGAAUUCCUGGUGUAGCGGUGGAAUGCGCAGAUAUCGGGAGGAACACCAAUAGCGAAGGCAGCUCGCUGGGACGUUACUGACACUGAGGCGCGAAAGCGUGGGGAGCGAACAGG